rnacentral:rRNA from 1 species
UACGAAGGGUGCAAGCGUUACUCGGAAUUACUGGGCGUAAAGCGUGCGUAGGUGGUUUGUUAAGUCUGAUGUGAAAGCCCUGGGCUCAACCUGGGAAUUGCAUUGGAUACUGGCAGGCUAGAGUGCGGUAGAGGAUGGCGGAAUUCCCGGUGUAGCAGUGAAAUGCGUAGAGAUCGGGAGGAACAUCUGUGGCGAAGGCGGCCAUCUGGACCAGCACUGACACUGAGGCACGAAAGCGUGGGGAGCAAAACGG